GGACGAACGCUGGCGGCGUGCUUAACACAUGCAAGUCGAGCGGUAAGGCCCUUUUGGGGGUACACGAGCGGCGAACGGGUGAGUAACACGUGGGUGACCUGCCCUCAGCUCUGGGAUAAGCCUGGGAAACUGGGUCUAAUACUGGAUAUGACCUUUCCUCGCAUGGGGGUUGGGUGGAAAGUUUUUCGGCUGGGGAUGGGCCCGCGGCCUAUCAGCUUGUUGGUGGGGUGAUGGCCUACCAAGGCGACGACGGGUAGCCGGCCUGAGAGGGCGACCGGCCACACUGGGACUGAGACACGGCCAGACUCCUACGGGAGCAGCAGUGGGGAAUAUUGCGCAAGUGGGCGAAGCCUGACGCAGCGACGCCGCGUGGGGAUGACGG
rnacentral:rRNA from 1 species